ensembl:lncRNA
GUCUCAUGUUGAAGGAUGCCCUUCAACCCCCACAUCCCCUUAACUGCCACUCCUCCCUCCAACACCUCCUCCUCCCAGGUAUGUUACCCCAUACAAACAAGAUAAAGCAAUGUCUCAUGUUGAAGAAUCAUUGUCAGUUCAAACAUAACUCAUCCUUAACCCGUCGUUCCUCCCUUCCCUCUCUUCUCCCAGGACACCAUACAUACACAGUGUGUGUGUGUGAGGAGACAUCUGAGGCUCAUAUUGUUCUUGUUUCCCAGAAUUCCAUGCUGCUCGCUCCCGGUGCUUAACAUAGUUGGCAGUUCUCUUCAUCCUCCUAACUACACAGUAUGGCCUUUUUUUUUUUUUUUUUUUUAAAAGACGGCCAGACCAGGUGCAUAUUCUCUUCCAGAUCCAACUCUGUUCUGUUCUUGUGCUGAAGCUCUGUCCAGCACCACUGCUCAAGCGUGUCCAACACUUUCACUGGAGAGAGAGAGAGAGAAAGAAGAGACGUCACAGAGUGAGAGGAAAGAUUUGAAGAGUGGAACAAAGACA